rnacentral:tRNA from 1 species
GGGGCUGUAGCUCAGUUGGCUAGAGCACUUGCAUGGCAUGCAAGGGGUCAGGAGUUCAAGUCUCCUCAGCUCCACCA